rnacentral:rRNA from 1 species
UACGUAGGGUGCGAGCGUUUGUCCGGAAUUAUUGGGCGUAAAGAGCUUGUAGGCGGUUUGUCGCGUCUGCCGUGAAAAUCCGGGGCUCAACCCCGGACUUGCGGUGGGUACGGGGCAGACUAGAGUGUGGUAGGGGAGACUGGAAUUCCUGGUGUAGCGGUGAAAUGCGCAGAUAUCAGGAGGAACACCGAUGGCGAAGGCAGGUCUCUGGGCCACUACUGACGCUGAUGAGCGAAAGCCAGGGGAGCAAACGGG